rnacentral:lncRNA from 1 species
GGGUACUUCCCUGAGUAUUACUGCUAAAGUGCGGGGCUCUACGCCUUCCUCCGGGAGCUCCACCAUGUCAGCAACAGGAUGAGCGGCUUCUGUUACCUUUUUAAGAGCAAGGUCCUUUGCCUCCAACUCAGCCUGCUGCGCUCGAAGUUUCUCCAUCAAGUCAACAAGUUGGAACUCCCCAUCGAUGCGCAGUUUCUUCUCUUUCUCGAGCUUGUGCUCUAGGAUCUCGUACUUUGCGAUCAGCUUGUCAAUCUCAUCCAUAACUCGGUAGUACAAGUUUUGCCAGUCCAUGGCACGACCUAGAGAUCUCUAUUCUCCUUGGUGAGC